rnacentral:rRNA from 1 species
UACGGAGGGUGCAAGCGUUAUCCGGAUUCCCUGGGUUUAAAGGGUGCGUAGGUGGGCAGGUAAGUCAGUGGUGAAAUCUCCGAGCUUAACUCGGAAACUGCCGUUGAUACUAUUUGUCUUGAAUAUUGUGGAGGUAAGCGGAAUAUGUCAUGUAGCGGUGAAAUGCUUAGAUAUGACAUAGAACACCAAUUGCGAAGGCAGCUUACUACACAACGAUUGACGCUGAGGCACGAAAGCGUGGGGAUCAAACAGG